rnacentral:rRNA from 1 species
AGAGUUUGAUCCUGGCUCAGAGCGAACGCUGGCGGCAGGCUUAACACAUGCAAGUCGAGCGGGCGUAGCAAUACGUCAGCGGCAGACGGGUGAGUAACGCGUGGGAACGUACCUUUUGGUUCGGAACAACACAGGGAAACUUGUGCUAAUACCGGAUAAGCCCUUACGGGGAAAGAUUUAUCGCCGAAAGAUCGGCCCGCGUCUGAUUAGCUAGUUGGUGAGGUAAUGGCUCACCAAGGCGACGAUCAGUAGCUGGUCUGAGAGGAUGAUCAGCCACAUUGGGACUGAGACACGGCCCAAACUCCUACGGGAGGCAGCAGUGGGGAAUAUUGGACAAUGGGCGCAAGCCUGAUCCAGCCAUGCCGCGUGAGUGAUGAAGGCCCUAGGGUUGUAAAGCUCUUUUGUGCGGGAAGAUAAUGACGGUACCGCAAGAAUAAGCCCCGGCUAACUUCGUGCCAGCAGCCGCGGUAAUACGAAGGGGGCUAGCGUUGCUCGGAAUCACUGGGCGUAAAGGGUGCGUAGGCGGGUCUUUAAGUCAGGGGUGAAAUCCUGGAGCUCAACUCCAGAACUGCCUUUGAUACUGAGGAUCUUGAGUUCGGGAGAGGUGAGUGGAACUGCGAGUGUAGAGGUGAAAUUCGUAGAUAUUCGCAAGAACACCAGUGGCGAAGGCGGCUCACUGGCCCGAUACUGACGCUGAGGCACGAAAGCGUGGGGAGCAAACAGGAUUAGAUACCCNNGUAGUCC